GAUGAACGCUGGCGGCGUGCCUAACACAUGCAAGUCGAACGGAGAUUUAACGCUGAUGAGGCUUCGGCGGAAUCUUGUUAAAUCUUAGUGGCGGACGGGUGAGUAACGCGUGGGCAACCUGCCUCGUACUGGGGGAUAACAGUUGGAAACGACUGUUAAUACCGCAUAAGCGCACGGUACCGCAUGGUACAGUGUGAAAAACUCCGGUGGUACGAGAUGGGCCCGCGUCAGAUUAGCCAGUUGGUGGGGUAACGGCCUACCAAAGCAACGAUCUGUAGCCGGACUGAGAGGUCGGACGGCCACAUUGGGACUGAGACACGGCCCAAACUCCUACGGGAGGCAGCAGUGGGGGAUAUUGCACAAUGGGCGAAAGCCUGAUGCAGCGACGCCGCGUGAGUGAAGAAGUAUUUCGGUAUGUAAAGCUCUAUCAGCAGGGAAGAAAGACUCGUAAGAGAGAUGACG
rnacentral:rRNA from 1 species